rnacentral:tRNA from 1 species
GCCCAGGUGGUGAAAUGGCAUACACGUCAGUUCGAGGGGCUGAUGCCUGAAUAAGGCGUGCGGGUUCAAGUCCCGCCCUGGGCA